UGUUUUUUGUUUUUCUCAUAAGCUUAUAUCAUUUCUUCCCUGCCAUUAUGGAAUUUUGAAAGAAACCUCUGUUUUGUUGACAGAAUGAAAGCUUUCACUGGGAUACUUUCUUAGACUUCGGUAUACAAUAUGAUGACAUUCGUCAUUGGGGAUUUGUACCUUUACAUGGUCUGUCAUAAUGCAGUUUCAAAAUUUAGGCUGCUUGGAAUGUAAAAGAAAGUGGAACCCUUUCUAGAGGCUUACUCUUCAUUGGAAGUGAUUAUAGGGGGGACCAAGGACUUGGCAUGAACACCAACCCUAGCAGCCUCAUGGGAUCACGGCUGAGUCAUCCAGAGGGACCAGAAACAGACUUUGAAAAGGAAGGAAUUAUUGUCAAGGAAGGAACCAAGGGGUAGAACCAGAGGAACAGUGGCUACCUCAGGAUUGUUAUUGAGUUGAUUAAUCUGAAUUGUUGGUGACACAGUUUAUGGACUUCGUCUCCCAGAACUUCUGUGACCAAUUCUAGCAGCAGGCUACACAAGGUAGAGAAGGAGGGGGUUAGGGAGGAGGGGAGCAAACAUUUUGUGUCUCUAUAUUUUACAAGGGAAAAAGCUUUAGUUUCUUUCUCAUUUUUAUCUGUCUUCUCUGAUACCAUUAUUAUUCUUGAUCCUUUCCUUUGUUCAUAAACACAUGUGUAUAAAAAUUCAUUUUUUACAUCAUACAUUAACCCUUCCUCUACCUCCCAGAUGUAGUUUUUCUUAAGUAAAUGUUUACCCUGACCUAUGCUUACACUUUAUCUGAAGACUCAUUAGGUAACUACCUACAUACCAAAGAGUUAAUUUGCCCAGAGAAGGCUAAUUUGUAUGGUCUUCCUCAGAAACACACACACACACACACACACACACACACACAUUUCUUGAAAGCAAAAACCAGCAGGUUCCAACAAAUUCAUUCUUAGAGGUAACCAGGCUAAUAUUCUGACCUAAAAAGAUAGUCUCUAUGGAGUCCCCUGAACUCUCAGAUUCCAUCCUGAGGCUUAAGUUGCUACUUACUGACCUCCACAUCCUUCUCUGUGUCCCAGGCAGUGCCAUGCCUUAUGCCCAAUCACUCUCCUGUGGUCACACAUUUCCAGAUGAACAUGGACAGGACUGUAGAAAACCUACUAAAAUCAGGUGCUCAGAUAUAGCCCAGAGAUAUGUAUUUGAACUGUGUAUUGAAUUACUAAUAUGUGUUAUAUGCUUUAAAACCUAGACAAAUACAUCAAUUAAUAGUGCUAAUCAGAUUUGAUGGAUGCUGCAUUAGUCAGAUGUAUUACUGUGUGCUUGGGGGGAUGUUCAGAGACCUGGGGGAGGCCUCAGAGAGACUUACUUUGGGUUAGGGUGGGCUGCUAGCUGAUGAUCUGGUUCCUUAGCACACAUCAGGAAAAAAAGGAAAAACUAAGGAAGCUUGUGAGGAGUGUGAUGUCUGACAACUUUGGUGUACUCUCCAAGUGUAAUAAUUGGUGAUCCAUCUAUGCCAGUGAUGUUCCAAAUGAUAAAUCUGUGUUGUCUCAUAAAAACUUCACAAUAAACUUUUGAAG